UCUUGGUUAGUUUGUUGAAAACCGUGUUUUGUCCAGAACUUCCGCCUCGGAAGCGGAGGUUCAUGGGUUCGAUCCCCGUCCGAGCCAUACCAAGAC